GUAGCUAAAAGCUAAAAGUUUUCUCCACUGUGAGCAGCAGCAGAAGCAGCGACAGAAACAGCAGUGAACGGAGGCUAUGGCUGAAAGUCAAGAGAUAAGAACUGAAGAAGCAGCAAACCAAGCAUGCAGCUAAGCAGAGAGACACAGAGUUGUCUGAAGAGAGAGUUUGGGUAAGAACUGAAACAAAGUCCCCAAAACCCUCUGAGACCUCCGAGAGAGAGGAGGGAGAUGGACUCCGGCUUGAGAGGAGUCUUAGAGUGCUGCAGCACCGGAGAGUGGAGCUAAGAAGCUCAGAGACGUCGCAGAGCUGGACUGGGACGGUCAGAAGGAAUGCGGAGGAGGGCCUCACCCCCCUCCCCGCUGCUGCUGCCAAGCUGGCUAGCAGCCUGAGACAGAGCACAGGAGCUCUGAUAGAACU